rnacentral:rRNA from 1 species
CCUACGGGAGGCAGCAGUGGGGAAUAUUGGACAAUGGGGGAAACCCUGAUCCAGCGACGCCGCGUGAGUGAAGAAGUAUUUCGGUACGUAAAGCUCUAUCAGCAGGAAAGAAAAUGACGGUACCUGACUAUGAAUCCCCGGCUAACUACGGGCCAGCAGCCGCGGUAAUACGUAGGGGGCAAGCGUUAUCCGGAUUUACUGGGUGUAAAGGGAGCGUAGACGGCAGGGCAAGUCUGGAGUGAAAUGCCGGGGCCCAACCCUGGAACUGCUAUGGAUACUGUCAAGCUGGAGUGCAGGAGAGGUAAGCGGAAUUCGUGGUGUAGCGGUGAAAUGCGUAGAUAUCAGGAGGAACCCCGGUGGCGAAGGCGGCUUACUGGACUGUAACUGACGUUGUGGCUCGAAGGCGUGGGGAGCAAACAGGAUUAGAUACCCUUGUAGUC